GGGAUGCUACCGGGCGACCGGAUGCGGAUCUCGAAAGCCUGUCCCAGUUCGGACUGGAGUCUGCAACCCGACUCCACGAAGUUGGAUUCGCUAGUAAUCGCGCAUCAGCCAUGGCGCGGUGAAUACGUUCCCGGGCCUUGUACACACCGCCCGUCAAGCCAUGGGAGCCGGGGGCGCCUGAAGUCCGGGACCGCGAGGACCGGCCUAGGGCGAAACUGGUAACUGGGGCUAAGUCGUAACAAGGUAAC
rnacentral:rRNA from 1 species